ensembl:lncRNA
GCAGGCUGCCAAUGCACCUCAAAGCCUUUGCCAGGGCCAUGCAGGGAUAUGAAGGAUACAGUCAGCUCGAGUCAAAGCCGGCACUUUAGUCUGUCAUUAAACCAUCACGUCAGGGGAGAGCGCGAACGCAGUUCCCCACUACCAGAAAUUGUGCAGUCGAGAUUCCUACAUUUGAGGAAUUCGCAGGGGUCAGCACGACCGGAGUGCAAUGGCCGAGCCUCGCCCUGGGCAAACAACCUUCUUGAUCAUUGUAUCGCCCCUGCCAGGUAAGUAUGAGUUGUACAAGACCGAGCUGGCGCCGGCCUUCCUGGCCAAGGGAAGCACAGGGACGGUGGGGGCACCACCAACUUUCAGGCAGGCUGCCAAUGCACCUCAAAGCCUUUGCCAGGGCCAUGCAGGGAUAUGAAGGAUACAGUCAGCUCGAGUCAAAGCCGGCACUUUAGUCUGUCAUUAAACCAUCACGUCAGGGGAGAGCGCGAACGCAGUUCCCCACUACCAGAAAUUGUGCAGUCGAGAUUCCUACAUUUGAGGAAUUCGCAGGGGUCAGCACGACCGGAGUGCAAUGGCCGAGCCUCGCCCUGGGCAAACAACCUUCUUGAUCAUUGUAUCGCCCCUGCCAGGUAAGUAUGAGUUGUACAAGACCGAGCUGGCGCCGGCCUUCCUGGCCAAGGGAAGCACAGGGACGGUGGGGGCACCACCAACUUUCAGGCAGGCUGCCAAUGCACCCCAAGCACCUCAAAGCCUUUGCCAGGGCCAUGCAGGGAUAUGAAGGAUACAGUCAGCUGGAGUGCACUUGAAUAUAUUUGAACAGCCUCCCCACAUUUCAAAUAGUCCUUGCUGGAGCUCAUCGCCAUGCCUUGGGGAACCACCACCACGCACGGCGGAACAAGCCAGAGGAACAGAGAGGACCUAACCAGAGGAACAGAGAGGAGAACAGGGAACAAACUUGACUUUAGACAGACAGGUGAUGCUCCGCCGAAGCAGAGCUUCCAAAAAUACCGUAAACUCGGGGGUGUUCCCCUCCACGGAAAUCUUUAGUAAAAGGCGAAAGAUUUGUACGAGUUGAAGAGAAACCCGAGCGUGCCUUCCACAUGGCCUCUGGCCCGGGUGCUAGGACGGCACCGGGCGCGGCCCUCACGGUGUGUCUG